rnacentral:tRNA from 1 species
AUUUAUAUAGUUUAAAAUAAAACUUUACAUUUUCAUUGUAAAAAUGAAGUCUUUCUAUAAAUU